UAUAGUAUAGUGUACUCCGCACGUAAGCCUUUGAAGCUUAAAGAAGAAAUCCCCUUACUAUAA
rnacentral:tRNA from 1 species